ensembl:lincRNA Gm14243 predicted gene 14243
CAGGAAUCCAUUGAGACUGGAGCAGUGAGUAGGCUAAGACUAGAAUAAGCAGAAGCUGGCCUCCGUCUCUCCAUCCUUGCCUGUUGAUGGUUAAUGCCUUCAGAUGUGCCUGUGAGGGAGUUCCUAGAUUGGUGUAACUGAGGCUGAGGCCCUCCCAUUUACUACAGUUGGCCUCUAGAGUCUCUCCUGCACACUUUGAACUGAUGAGUCUCAGCCAGUCAGUGAAGCUUCAUGAAACCGGGGCUCCGUAACCGGCUCUUCAAUUUUGACAUGUUGGGAUUGCGUGUGAAGGGACAGCGGUGGAGCCAGUUGAGAAGUGAGUGGACCAGAUUGCAAAGCAGCCCGACAAGAUAUCCUUAUUAAGAUAAAAUUGUGAAUUUUCAGAAAGCACGGGUACACAUCAGACAGCUGAAGGGACAGACGUAGACCCGUGGUGUUCUCAAAAGCGCCACAAGAUGGCGCUGCUGCUGCUUCCCAGUCCCGACUACAGAGAAACUGCCAGCAGUGGCUGGAACAGUUAGUCAGAAGUUCUCUACAAGUUUGAAGUGAUUACCCAGUGAACAUAUUUCUUAAGUAAUCUUCAAUUUUGGCUGCUGGAGAGCUCCUCACAAUGAGGCCGUUUGAAACGGGCUCCGUAUAAGCCUUGCUCUCUUGGUCAUGUUUGUCAGAGUCUGGGACAUCAAGCUUAAGGGAAGGAAAAUGGCUGGCUGGUCAAACUGCCACAGGGACAAACUGCCGCAAAACACCAGCACCAGGAGUCCUUUUGCAUCAAACUCUUGAUUGUUCUUUCUGGCAGAAGCCAGACUUACGAGGUUUCCCCAUCCUUCUUCCUGGGUCUUCUUCCAGGUAUCCAGCUGGUCCCCCAGCAGUUGCAACAUUGGAAUUAGACUUGUUUGUGUGAGGCUCUGCCCGAAAGCUGCAGAGAAGCUAGUAUUUAGACAUGAUGGCCCGGGCAUGCGUGACUGCAUGCAUGCAUGAAUCCAUCUGUCCAUUUCAGGGCUCCAGGCAGUAUGGUAGGAGCUGGAAAAUGCAGCAAACCUGAUAGCUACCUAUCUGAAUUUGUGUGUGUGUCUGGCUCCUGACCUUUUCCACCUGGAAUCUUGCUCGUGGUAGGGACUCCUAUCUUUUCAGCUUCCCCUUUGGUGUCUUUAUGCUUGAAUGGAGUCUCACAGUUUGAUUAUUUGAACUGUAGCGUUCAUGCGGCUUCUGGAAAAAUCCCCAACAACCCUGUCUGCCUCUGAUCACAUCCUCUGGCGGACAGAACAAGCUGACCUGAGUCUGGGUGACGAACCAACCUUGCUUGACUGGCCCUGAGAAUGGAGAUAACCCUGGAAGGCAGAAUACUACUUUUAAAACGAGGAGUGAUGGCUUCCCAAGAUGGGAGAUUUUCAGCGCUACAAUCCAACAAACCUGGGCAGAUAGGGAUGAGCGGAUCACCUUGGGCCAGUUCUCUCUUACAUCCCUGAGAGACCUGGCCUCUUUGUCUUUCUCCUCCUCAGUGUUUCUGAGGUCUGUGCUGCCCUUGGCACUCCUGGCAGUCCUUGUUUGUCCUGUGCUGGCCGGCUUUGAGGCUGACUGGUGGGAGGCUCAGUGUGGGAAGGAAGACAUGGCUUAGCAGUGUUCACCUCGGACAGGCGCGGCUGUACCUCUCAGCCUCAGCUCCUUUUAUUGUAAGAUAGGUAUAAUUAUCCCUGCCUCACGUUUGUUGAGAGGAUCAGGAGAGAUCAUGCAUACAAAGUGUCAGGUAUGAACCUGAGCAUGAGAGCAUAGCCCGAUGUCGAUAAUGCAUUCAACAACAACAACAACAACAACAACAACAACAACAACAACAAAUCCUGCACAGAAUAGUGGCAGGAGGGAGAGGUUCAGGGCUGCAGAAUCCAGGGCGAGUACCAAAAUGGAGAGGCCAAACAGUAUGGGUGUGGCUGGGCAAAACGGUGUGGGUGUGAGUAGGACUCUGGUCUCUCAGCAACCUAAGAUGAAAUAGAUUUUACUCUGAUGACAGCAGGGAAUCACUGAGGGAUUUAAUGGCUCCAUCAGUUUGGGUCGUCAUCCCUAGCUGCUUUGUGGAUGUAAUUCUGGUCACGCAGUGCCUAUAAUUCCUGUACAGUAGCGGGAGGGGCACAGGGCAGUGCAUGUGAUCAAGAUACAUUGUAUACCUGUAUAGACCUGUCAGAUAAUAAACAUGUUUAUUAAACUA